AGCACUUUAAAGGGAAUAACACAUUAAUAAUCCUACAUAUUUAGUGACGCUUUAACGCGGAGUAUUUAUUUUAAAAAAUAAAUAAAAAAGAGAGAGAGAGCUGAAAAUCCCUCCCUCUGCUCAUCUUAUACUGUUUUUUUAGCCAGGCUUUACUCUGGCGAAACCCGAGCCACCCGGGUCUGAUUGGUUGACUCCCAAAUGAGUCCUUAUUAGGCCCAAAGUGCACUACAGUGCGUUGUCGAUGCUAUUCUCUCAUACCCUAUGUAGUGCACUCGUGCAGGGAGCGGACGGCUAUUUGGGGCUGGACAGCAAUCAUGGCGGCUUGACGGUGGUACAUAUGCGUUUUUGUUACAGAGCACUGAAGUAUGCUGCGAUGUGUUAGCCGGACGACCCAGAUAACGAGACCCUUAUCUAUUUUAACACACGUUUCAUAUUUUCACCAACUGUCAGUUUCAGACCUCAGAAUGAGUGACCCAGCAGUGAAGAGGGUGGUGAGCGACAUCAUUCGCUCUCCAGAAGACAAGCGCGAGUACAGAGGACUGGAGUUUACUAACGGCCUCAAAGCAGUCCUGAUCAGUGAUCCCACUACAGACAAGUCAUCAGCAGCACUCGAUGUGCACAUAGGCUCAUUGUCGGAUCCUUCAAACAUUGCUGGUCUGGCUCAUUUUUGUGAGCACAUGCUGUUUUUGGGCACUAAAAAAUAUCCCAAAGAGAACGAAUACAGUCAAUUCCUGAGCGAGCAUGCGGGGAGCUCCAAUGCUUUCACCAGCGGCGAGCACACCAACUACUACUUCGACGUAUCCCAUGAGCAUCUGCAAGGAGCGCUAGAUAGGUUUGCCCAGUUCUUUCUGUGUCCUCUGUUUGAUGAGAGCUGUAAGGACCGCGAAGUGAACGCUGUGGACUCGGAGCAUGAGAAGAACCUGAUGAAUGAUGCAUGGAGAUUAUUUCAGCUGGAGAAGGCCACUGGGAACCCUGAUCAUCCUUUUAGCAAAUUUGGAACAGGCAAUAAGCUGACCUUGGAAACACGGCCAUCCCAAAAAGGCAUUGACAUCCGUCAGGAGCUGCUGAAAUUCCACUCCACAUUUUAUUCUUCCAACCUGAUGGGACUUUGUGUUCUGGGAAGAGAAUCUCUGGAUGAAUUGACGUCUAUGGUGGUUAAACUCUUUGGAGAGGUGGAGAACAAAUCUGUGCCUAUCCCUGAAUUCCCACAGCAUCCCUUCCAGGAGGAGCAUCUUAGGCAAUUUUACAAGGUCGUUCCCAUUAAGGACAUCCGGAACCUGUAUGUGACGUUCCCUAUCCCCGACCUACAGAAGUACUACAAAUCGAACCCUGGCCAUUAUUUGGGCCACUUGAUAGGGCACGAGGGUCCAGGGAGCCUGCUGUCUGAGCUGAAAGCUAAAGGCUGGGUAAAUACUUUAGUUGGAGGCCAGAAAGAGGGAGCCAGAGGGUUCAUGUUCUUCAUCAUUAAUGUGGAUUUAACAGAAGAAGGACUAUUGCAUGUAGAGGACAUCAUCUUUCACAUGUUCCAGUAUAUUCAAAAGCUGCGCACAGAGGGCCCUCAGGAGUGGGUUUUCCAGGAAUGUAAGGAUUUGAACACUGUGGCUUUCAGGUUCAAGGAUAAAGAACGCCCACGUGGAUACACAUCUAAAGUAGCUGGACUUUUGCACUAUUAUCCAUUGGAGGAGGUACUUGCCGCAGAGUACAUGUUGGAGGACUUCAGACCAGACCUUAUCGAGAUGGUGCUAGAUAAGCUGAGACCAGAGAAUGUCAGGGUCGCUGUGGUCUCCAAGUCAUUUGAAGGACAGACUGACAAGACAGAAGAGUGGUAUGGAACACAGUACAAGCAGGAAUCUAUAUCUGAUGAGGCCAUUAAGAACUGGCAAAAUGCUGAUCUCAACGGCAAGUUCAAACUGCCAAUGAAGAAUGAGUUCAUCCCCACCAACUUUGAAAUUUACCCUCUUGAGAAGGACUCUCCUUCUUAUCCCACGUUGAUCAAGGAUACUGCGAUGAGUAAAGUGUGGUUCAAGCAGGAUGAUAAAUUCUUCCUGCCCAAAGCCUGUUUAAACUUUGAAUUCUUCAGCCCCUUUGCGUAUGUGGACCCGUUGCACUGUAACAUGGCAUAUUUGUACCUUGAACUUCUUAAGGACUCCCUCAACGAGUAUGCAUAUGCAGCCGAGCUAGCUGGCUUGAACUAUGACCUCCAAAAUACCAUCUAUGGGAUGUAUCUCUCAGUAAAGGGCUACAGUGACAAGCAGCACAUCCUGCUGAAGAAGAUCAUUGAGAAAAUGGCCACAUUUGAGAUUAACGAGAAACGCUUCGACAUCAUCAAGGAGGCGUACAUGAGGUCGCUGAAUAAUUUCCGGGCGGAGCAACCUCACCAGCAUGCCAUGUACUACCUGAGGCUGCUCAUGACGGAGGUGGCCUGGACCAAAGACGAGCUCAAAGAAGCACUGGAUGAUGUCACUCUGCCCCGCCUCAAGGCCUUCAUACCUCAACUGUUGUCACGGUUACACAUUGAAGCCCUGCUGCAUGGCAACAUCACCAAACAGUCUGCGCUCAGUAUGAUGCAGAUGCUGGAGGACACGCUAAUUGAGCAUGCUCACACCAAGCCCCUCCUCCCAAGCCAGCUGAUUCGCUACAGGGAGGUGCAGGUGCCGGAUGGUGGCUGGUAUGUGUACCAGCAGAGGAAUGAGGUCCAUAAUAACUGUGGUAUAGAGAUUUACUACCAGACGGACAUGCAGACCACACAUGACAAUAUGCUGUUGGAGCUCUUCUGUCAGAUCAUCCACGAGCCCUGUUUCAAUACACUGCGCACCAAGGAACAGCUGGGCUACAUUGUGUUCAGCGGUCCACGUAGGGCUAACGGUGUGCAGGGGCUCCGUUUCAUCAUCCAGUCUGAGAAAGCCCCUCACUACCUCGAGUCACGGGUGGAAGCCUUUCUCAAGAUCAUGGAGAAGAAUGUGGAGGAGAUGAGCGACGAAGCCUUCCACAAACACAUCCAGGCCCUGGCCAUCCGCCGUCUCGACAAGCCCAAGAAGCUGGCAGCUGAGUGCGCCAAGUACUGGGGCGAGAUCAUAUCUCAGCAGUACAACUUCGACAGGGAUAAUAUUGAAGUUGCUUAUCUGAAGACGUUAACGAAGGACAACAUUAUGCAGUUCUACAAGGAUCUGUUGUCUAUUGAUGCUCCUAAGAGGCACAAGGUGUCUGUGCACGUGCUGUCCCGGGAGAUGGACUCCUGUCCAGUGGUGGGCGAGUUCCCAGCUCAGAAUGACGUCAAUCUCGCUCCUGCUCCUUCUCUGCCUCAGCCUGUGGUGGUCCAGGACAUGACCGAGUUUAAGAGGAGUCUGCCUCUCUUCCCUCUCGCUAAACCUCACAUCAACUUCAUGGCUGCCAAACUGUGAUCUGCACCAUUUAAAGAGCAUUGCCGGGUUUGACCGAGACACAUGGCACCCCCUGAGUUUAGAGCCAGUAACACCAUCUUGUGUGUGUGUGUGUGUGUGUGUGUGUGUGUGUGUGUGUGUAAGAAAGAAUGACUCGGCAGAGGUGUAGCAUUGAUGAGUCACCAUGUUGGCUACACUGUGCGCUCACAGCCUGGUCACUGAGGAGCCGUUUAAAAUCACUUCACACACACAGCUGUUUUAGAGAAUACAAAAAUGAUUUGCUUAAUCAGGAAUAGUUCAUGUAGGUGUUGAGUGCUAACCACAGGGAUGUUUUACUUGUGUUUGCCUGAUCAUUAUGAUGAAAGGGUUAAAUUUUUCAUUUCAGACAUGCUGGAAAUAUUUUCUUUACUGUGCUUCUUGAAGAGUGAAUCAACAUUUUAGCAAUCAAGACCUUAUUAUUUUUUUUUCCCUAUUUACCCAGAAUCUUGGAAAAGCACUGAUAUUUUCACUUUGCCUGCAGGUUAAACAUCAUCACUUCUGGUUGCUUAGAUUUGUUUCUCAGCAUAUGCAUUUUUACUCUAUUUAUUACUUUUACAAAUAGACUAAUGGAAGAGGUUUCAGAAUUGUUUUGUUAAAUUUUCAACAAACUGCAUAUUUUGCUUACCUUAAAUCUCGUCAUGUAAAGUCAUCACUGGUGUGUUGAUUUUGCUGCUUUCUUCUUUUAAUCCAGCAGCUCUUAACCACCGCCAAUAAGGUAAUGCGUGAAAAGGUCAUUUGAAUGCCUCCUUCAGCUUUAGAACACUACAAACAGCACACAGUGUCUACAUUAUUGGAUAUUCUGCUACAUGUUUAGUUGCUAAUCCUGAAGAUUUAAAUUUAUUACACUUUGAUAGUGUUCAAACAGUACAGUGCACACAAAAUUUUGGGUAAAUAGCGAAAUCAUGUUUAAUUGCUAGAAUGUUGAAUUAUUGAGCCCAUUCCCCCAAAACUGUAUCACUUUGAGUUUGACUAUGCUCAUGCAACAAACUGUCUACACAUGGUUUUUUUGGCCUUAAGUAAAAAAAAAUAUUUUAAAUCCAAUGAACAGGUUUUAAAAAUCUGGUAUUUUAUUUUAGCUAGUUAAAUGUUUUGGAGGAGCUGUUUUAGGCUACUGAGUAGAAUGGGCAUGAAGCCGUUUUAUUAGGUUGCUUUCUUAAGGAUCAUACUCAAAGUGAUUAUGGCUUUUUAUUUUAUUUGAAGUUGAAGGAGAACUUUAAUAAAUCAUUUUUAAAUAUAGUUUUCAUUUUGUUACAAUGUUUCUUGAAAAAUGAGCAUUAUAUUUUUAGUGAUAUGAAGCCAAGGGAUGAUUAAGUUUAAUAAGUCACUGUUUCCAACUUCUCUGUAGUUGGUGUGGUGUGGUGUUUGUUCAUCGGAGGAAAUCACUCACUGGCUGUAGAUUUGUGGUUUCAGUUUUGAGCUCAUGAUUAAUGAGGCUCAUAUGUGAACAUGGACACUCUUUAUCAUGCUCUUUGUGUGGUUUAUUCUGAACCCUUUCUUGCUGGACAUAAAUAUGCACCUCACGUUAAGAGCAAUAAUAUCACGGGGCUGAGGGUGAGCGUCUUAAACCUGACGUCCUGCAUGUGCUGUUAGGUCUCAAUCAGGUCAGUGGUGUUGGAAUGUUAGGAAGCACUUCGGAGUUUCAUCCGCAUCUGUUUCCUCUGCAUGGUGCAUGUGGUGGUAGAUGAGCAUCUCUCAGGUCUCGAAUAGCCUUGCCAAGCCUAACCGCUGCACUACUGUUGUUUUCUGUCGAUGGCAAAACCAGCUUUAUUUUUGACCUUUAGAACAUUCUCAGGCCUGCAACUGUAAUGCUGCUUUUACUAGACAAAUACGUGGGUGUACAGAGAUAUUCCUCCAACGAUCAUAACCAUACUCACCGUUUUACAGUGUUUAUCCACUAUAAGUGAGAAACUGGGGCAGCAACUUUCUAGUUAUUUAUUUUUUAAUCCCCAGAUGUAUAGUGCUUAACUUUAGAACAGCUACUUCAGCCAGUGUGUGUUGGUUUUUUUUUGGCACCAAGAUCUGUACAGCAGUAUAUAGUGUGGAAUAUUUGGAAUGGCUCCUUUAACCAAUUAGAGGCAUUGUUUUUAAAGCUAACCAAUCAAGUUUCCCAACACAUGUUUAGACUGAGUGAAAUGGGGAGGGGAAAAAAAGUUGGGUUGAAGCGUGAAUUUGUAACAAGCGUAAGUUCAGCCAUACAGCUAAUUAGUUAGUAUUUACAGGGUGACAGUAAAUGCUUGUGAAGCAUAUGCAUUUGAUGAUUUAGAAGAAAUUGAACCAGAUAAUGAGCACCAGUCAGCAUGUGCAAGAAUUAAGAAUUGCUGGGAAGUAACACUAAAACCCCUGAGACAGGAGAUGUUUGACCUCUACUGAAUGGUACUGCUGCGUGUGAGACUGUCAUACAAUUAAAAAAUGAUCAAAUGA